CAGAUACCAGAACCAAGACUUCCUAGCUGGAAUAAGCAAUUGAUUAAACUUGCUACCUGCUGCCUUCUGCUCUUGCCACCCUCCAUACCCAAAGAAGAAAGAAAGGAAACAAAUCUUGUGGACUAUCCACAGGAUAACACAAGAAGAGAGUACCACAUCUCAAGACCACAAGAUGGCUUCCAGAGGCAAUGGGGAAUCAAGCUUCAUUACCAUAUUUUACAGGAAAGAUGUUCCAUAAUGUCAUCUCUAGACUACGCAAAUUCAACGUAAAUAAAAG
rnacentral:lncRNA from 1 species